AUAAAAUAGCAGGUUUAGUGUUGGGAGAGGAGGCCACAGAAGUUGGAAACGUCUGAGGGAACUCAGUGGAGAAAGAUCUAGUUUAACCAGCUCAUUCUGGAAAACACAAACACCCCUGGUAGUGCUUGACAGAUGGUACAUCCCAUCAUCACCAGCUCUAUAAAAUCUUUCAGAAACCCUCUGCUUUGGUUUGAAGCACUGACAACACUGACAAGCUCAGAGACUGGUGACCUCUCCAGAGUGCGCCCCACCUCCAGCCCAAUGACGCCUGGAGAUAGGCACCCCCUUCCUGCGACCCUGCAAGGACAAGCUGGAUCUGCAGUCAUCCACAGUUUUCAGUCCUGGAUACAGGAAGAAGGACAGAGAGAGAAGGGGAAGACAUGCAGCAAAUGGGCUGGGAAUUGAACCGGAGACGACUGCGCUGAGGCCUCUGCACGUGGCGCCCUACUGGAGUCAUUUCUAAGCAACUGCAGAUUCCAUCACAUUGGCCUAAGAAUGCACCAAUAUCGAAAUUUUUGCCAAUAUCGAUUUCCAACAUUAAAAUU